rnacentral:tRNA from 1 species
GGUGUAGAACGCGAAGUGGUCAAGCGACAUGCCUUUCAAGCAUGUGAAUAGUGGGUUCAAGUCCCAUCUACACUU